rnacentral:rRNA from 1 species
UACGAAGGGGGCUAGCGUUGCUCGGAAUUAUUGGGCGUAAAGGGCGCGUAGGCGGCUUGACAAGUCAAAGGUGAAAUCCCUCGGCUCAACUGAGGAACUGCCUUUGAAACUGUCUGGCUUGAGGCCGGGAGGGGGUAGCGGAAUUCCCAGUGUAGCAGUGAAAUGCGUAGAUAUUGGGAGGAACACCAGUGGCGAAGGCGGCUACCUGGACCGGUUCUGACGCUGAUGCGCGAAAGCGUGGGUAGCAAACAGG